GGUGCGGAUAUCAUCGUCAGAGUGCGGAAGAAGCCCAAGAAGGAAAAAGAGAUAUCGUCGGCUGGUCCGCCUCCAGUUGGUGCACGGCAGUCCGUCUGUCUGUCUGGCAGCACCAGUGCCUUCCACUCUCUCCCUGUCCAUCACCUUGAUAUUCAUCCAGCAGCACACAAUAAUAUACCAUCACCACCACCAGCAGUGCGCCAUUUGUUUCCAAUUGCAAUCAGAUCCCAGAGACAGCCAACACACAUCAAAAAGUGAUCGCCAUCAGCUUAGACUUGGACAUCAAUAAAAAAAAGUCAACACCGGAACUUGUACAUUGAACCCAAAAGAAAUUCUUGCAAAAAAAGAUUUGCAGGGCCGGCCCUUUUGAAAAUCUCGGCGCGGAAAUUCAUUUCGACGAAGAUGUCCUUGUUGGCUUCGAUCCUCUUCUGUUUGUCCUCUCUCCUGCUGGUGGUGGCAGAUCUCAACAGUCCAGCAGCAACUGUCCAGCAGUCUCAACAAAAGAGUCCGACCAGCAAGACGGAGAAACUGGACGAGCUGCUGGCCGAGAUUGGUGACGUCACGGCCGGAAACCUCGGCUCACUUUGCAUUUCUCAGCAAUUCCGAUCGGUGCCCGUCACGGUGAGAGUCGACGGGUUCGAGCCGGCCCGCCAGAAGGCCGACAUGCUCGCCCGUCUCUUACAAGAUCUCGGACAACUCGACAAUCAAGAAUUGUUGAAGCUGCUGAUCAGGAGCGCCGUGCGCAGCGAGCGGACAAUCGAGGCGUCACGGAUGGUCACGUUCACGAAGCCGGCCACGUCCUCGUCAGGCGCCGCCAACAGCAACAGCAACGCCGUCAAUUUGCUUUUCAUGGCUCACGCCAGCCGGCCGGCCUCCCCUUACGCCGACCCUUCCCUCAAAGUCGAUUACGUCCAGCAGCCGGCCGUCAGCGACACGGCCAACUCGGGCGGCAACGCUUCCAUCCAGCAGUCGACGACGUUGCCCAAGGCGGGCGGAUCCGUCAAUCCCUCCGGCGUCCCGUCGCUAGGCAACGCGGCGCUGAGCGAUCUCCCUUGGUUUGACGAUCCCUUCCGCUCGACUUCCUCUUCCGGCAACUGGAACAAGUUCAUGAUCAACUCGUCCAACGUCACUUUUCUCGGAUGGUGGACUUUUCCUUACUACCAGUGUUCCAGCCGCCGCUGGACACUCACCUACUCCAUUCCGGUUACCAGCGCCUCGUCCAGCACCAUUUCCUCCGCCGACCGACUGGACGGAUUGCUGACGGUCGACGUGUCCGUCUCUUCGAUGGACAUCAAUCAAUGCGACGACGGGCCGUCAGACUCGUCUGACCAGCAGCAAAUUGUCGCCCAUUUCGCCGGGACCCACAAAUGCCACGAGACCAGCACGUGCCGGUUCGAACGAGGUUACGGCUGGAUUCGUGGCGGUUACACCUGCACCUGCCUGCCCGGCUAUUAUUCGCCUUAUCUGAAAAACGCCACGUUUAACGGAUCGCACGUCGAAUUGGCGUACCGGAACAAGUUGACGUUCAACAGCCAAGUCUACGACCAAUUGUAUCGCUGUCUGCCGUGCUCGGCCGGCUGCGACCUCUGCGUCGACGACUCGCCCUGUUUGGCACCUUACGACUGGCCGUUCAGGAUCGUGUUGCUGGCCAUCUCGAUGACGUGGGUGAUGGUGUCCAUCGCCCUGAUGGGCGCCGUUUACAAAUACCGCCGGCUCAAAGUCUUCAAAGUGGCCAGCCCGACUUUCCUCUGCGUCACGCUACUCGGUUGCGCCAUCAUGUACGCCGAGAUGGCCGCCAUUUUCCCCGAGCUGAACACGCCGGCCUGCGUGGCCACCAAGUGGACCCGUCACAUGGGAUUCUGCAUCACUUUCAGUUCACUCUUAAUGAAGACCUGGAGGGUUUCAUUGACGUACCGAGUCAAAUCCGCUCACAAGUUGAAGCUGACGGACCAGCAGUUGCUGCAGUGGAUGGUGCCCAUCAUGCUGGUGGCCACCGUUUAUCUGGGCGCUUGGACGGCCAGCGAUCCGCCCACCGGCGAGUACAUCCUCACCGGGCCCACCAUGAAGUUCACGCAAUGCACCUACAACUGGUGGGAUCACAGCUUGGCAAUCGGCGAGGUGUUUUUCCUGAUGUGGGGAAUUCACGUCUGCUACUCUGUCCGCCGGGCCGAAACGUAUUUCAAUGAGACCAAACACAUUUCGUGGGCCGUCUACAACAUCGCCGUCAGCAACAUCAUCUUCGCUUCAUUCCAUUUGCUGUUGCUACCCAACGUCGGGCCGGACAUGAAAUAUUUAUUGGGUUUCAUCCGCACUCAGAUGAGCACCACGGUCACCAUUGCCUUGGUCUUUGGUCCCAAGUUUUAUCUGGUGGCGAUGGGGAGAGGAGACGAGCACGACGCCCGGACCAAGGCCCGCGGUGUGACGGCCUCGUUCUCGUUGAACGGACUCAGUUUGGCCAGCGGGUUGGGUGGCAGCUGCAGCGGAGGAGGACCCGGCGGAGUCCUUGUCGGCGGAGGGAUGACGGAAAACUUGGAGAACUCCGGCAAUCCACCGGAACCGGACGACCAGCCCGUCGACCUCUACCGCGAGAAUGAAGAACUCAAAGCUGAGAUAUCCAAACUGCUGACUGUCUAACACAAUUGUAGCUAAAAACUCACAAAAAGGCCCUCAAAUUAAGAAAUAAUAAGAGAGAGAAAUAGACGCACACGGAGCAAUUACAAAAGUUGGCCGGUCACAUGGAAUUCAUGAAAAUUGUCCACAUGGGCGUCAACAAUCCGCACCUCAAACCCAAGCCGGGC
rnacentral:misc_RNA from 1 species